GACGAACGCUGGCGGCAGGCCUAACACAUGCAAGUCGAACGCUCGUAGCAAUACGAGAGUGGCAGACGGGUGAGUAACACGUGGGAACCUUCCCUAUGGUUCGGAAUAGCUCAGGGAAACUUGGGGUAAUACCGGAUAAGCCCUUCGGGGAAGGAUUUAUCGCCAUUGGAUGGGCCCGCGUCGGAUUAGCUAGUUGGUGAGGUAACGGCUCACCAAGGCAACGAUCCGUAGCUGGUCNGAGAGGAUGAUCAGCCACACUGGGACUGAGACACGGCCCAGACUCCUACGGGAGGCAGCAGUGGGGAAUAUUGGACAAUGGGCGCAAGCCUGAUCCAGCCAUGCCGCGUGAGUGACGAAGGUCUUCGGAUUGUAAAACUCUUUUGGCGGGGACGAUAAUGACGGUACCCGCAGAAUAAGCCCCGGCUAACUUCGUGCCAGCCGCCGCAGUAAU
rnacentral:rRNA from 1 species